GAUGAAGAAACGUAGCGAAAUGCGAUAAGUAAUGUGAAUUGCAGAAUCCAGUGAAUCAUCGAAUCUUUGAACGCACAUUGCGCCCGCCAGCAUUCUGGCGGGCAUGCCUGUUCGAGCGUCAUUUCAACCCUCGACCUCCCCUUGGGGAGGUCGGCGUUGGGGACCGGCAGCACACCGCCGGCCCUGAAAUGGAGUGGCGGCCCGUCUGCGGCGACCUCUGCGUAGUAAUACAGCUCGCACCGGAACCCCGACGCGGCCACGCCGUAAAACACCCAACUUCUGAACGUUGACCUCGAAUCAGGUAGGACUACCCGCUGAACUUAAGCAUAUCAAUAAGCGGAGGA
rnacentral:misc_RNA from 1 species